GUCCACGCUGUAAACGAUGGGAACUAGGUGUGAGAGGUUAGAUCCUCUCGUGCCGCCGCUAACGCAUUAAGUUCCCCGCCUGGGGAUUACGGCCGCAAGGUUAAAACUCAAAAGGAAUUGACGGGGCCCGCACAAGCGGUGGAGCAUGUGGUUCAAUUUCGACGCAACGCGAAGAACCUUACCUGGGCUAGACAACGGUGGACCGCCCCAGAGAUGGGGCUUUCCCUUCGGGGACUGCCGGUUCAGUGCUGCAUGGCUGUCGU
rnacentral:rRNA from 1 species